AGGAAAUUGCCCCAAGGGCAGGUUCCCCUGAUGUCCAACCAGAAGGAAUGGACUCGGUGCAGGGUUGAGACCUCGACGCCCGCUUCUGUCACUGCCAUCUGUCAUUGCUCUCUGCUCACGAUGGGUUCUGCCAGAAACAGAAGUUUCUUGGUCUCUGGUUGAUCUGC
ensembl:misc_RNA